rnacentral:misc_RNA from 1 species
AUUGAAUAAUAACAUUUAUUAAUAAAAAAAUAAUUUUAAAUAUAUAUUUUUUCUUCUCUCUGCUCUUUUCACAUCUCUCAUUCCAGUUCUCCCUGCUUCCCAUCCAUCCUCUAUCUCUCUCUCCCCCACCAUGCAUCCCCUAUUCUCUCUUACUAUUUGAACUCUACGAGCAUACACUCUACGAAAAAGAUCAAACUAUAGAUGAGAAUGGAAGAAGGUGGAGCCAUAGCAAAUGAAAGGAAAGAAGCUAGAGCAGGUACUGUGAUUCACUCAAGCCUAUGAUGGCCACUUUCCCAGUGCAGGGUCCAAUCUUUAGGACAGCAUCAGGGGUGCUGUAUAGCAGAUUUCUAGUGGUUGGAGUUGUAGAGAUGGUGGAUUGAGAGAAAUUGAGAGGGAACGUGUGAGAGAGGGAGAAAAAUUCGGUGGAGAGAGACAGGGAGGGAAUUUUAUGGGAGAGAGAAAUAUUAAAAUUAGAAUUACUUUUUAUUUUUUAAUUAAAAAAUAUUAUUAUUUUAUUCAGUUUUGACCAAAUUUUGUUGACUGGAUAAAAUUGCAACAAAUUGUUUCAAUUUGGCCUAAAUUGCCAAAA